rnacentral:misc_RNA from 1 species
AUUUUCAACUCGCAGAACGGAUUUGUGCUCCCCAUAGUCUGCUUCAAGUUGUUUCCCCGCUUGAUGGUCACCGUCAAACAGCCGGGCAAGCAGUGUAACAAACUAUCUGCUCUCUCAUGGAAACUAGGUGGGCAGGUUUUCAUGAGUAAUUGCAAUAUGGGUAUGGCUUCAGCGGCAUUCAGGGCUUGUUCUUUGGCGGUAUCUUCGUUCAUCUCGGACCAUGACUCUUUAAGUAAACAAAGAGUGUCCAGCACAGACUCCUGAGCAGCUUCCCCUCCAGCCUUCA